rnacentral:rRNA from 1 species
GCAAGAUACCACGGGCGCACGGCGGAUGCCUUGGCACAGGGAGCCGAUGAAGGACGCGGCAAGCUGCGAUAAUCCCCGGCGAGGAGCACACAUCCUUCGACCCGGGGGUCUCCGAAUGGGCGAACCCAUCCGUAGCAGUACGGAUAUCCCGACCCUGAACACAUAGGGGCCGGGAGGACAACCCGGGGAACUGAAACAUCUAAGUACCCGGAGGAGAGGAAAUCAAUCUCGAGACUCCCCGAGUAGCGGCGAGCGAAAGGGGACCGAUGGCCAAACCGUCGAGCGGGCAUACCCGGCAGGGGUUCCGCCGACGGGGUUGCAGGGCCGCGCAUCCGGGGGCUGCCGCCCCCGGGCGCAGGUCCGGCUGGGGAGCGGAACGGCAUGGGAGGGCCGGCCGCAGCGGGUGACAGCCCCGUACGCGAACCCAGACCGGACGGCGCGACGCGGUCCCUGAGUAGGGCCGGGCACGUGAAACCCGGUCCGAACCUGGGUGGACCACCAUCCAAGCCUGAGUACUACCCUGUGACCGAUAGCGCACCAGUACCGUGAGGGAAAGGUGAAAAGCACCCCGGGAGGGGAGUGAAACAGUACCUGAAACCGUGCGCCCACGAGCAGUCGGAGCACCCUUGUGGUGUGACGGCGUGCCUUUUGUAGAAUGAGCCAGCGAGUCGCUGGCGCGGGGCGAGGUUAACCGAAAGGGAGCCGGAGCGAAAGCGAGCCUUAACAGGGCGACUUGAGUCCCGCGCCGCGGACGCGAAGCCGGGUGAGCUAUCCGUGGGCAGGCUGAAGCGGGGGUAAGACCCCGUGGAGGGCCGAACGCACGUCGGUUGAAAACGGCGGCGAUGACCUGCGGAUAGGGGUGAAAGGCCAAUCAAACCCGGAGAUAUCUCGUUCUCCCCGAAAUAGCUUUAGGGCUAGCGUCGCGCGUUCACCGCCGGAGGUAGAGCACCGGAUGGACGAGGGGGCUUCGCCGCCUACCGAAUCCAACCGAACUCCGAAUGCCGGCGGCCCAGAGCGCGGCAGUCAGAGCAUGUGGGCUAAGCUGUGUGCUCGAGAGGGAAACAGCCCGGACCGCCCGCUAAGGUCCCCAAGUUCCAGCCGAGUGGCAAAGGAUGUGCGUCCGCCCAGACAACCAGGAUGUUGGCUUAGAAGCAGCCAUGCAUUCAAAGAGUGCGUAACAGCUCACUGGUCGAGUGGACAUGCGCCGACAAUACACGGGGCUAAGCUGGACACCGAAGCGGCGGGAUUUUACCUAAGUAGAAUCGGUAGGGGAGCUUCCCAUGGGCGGGGAAGCCGCCGGGCGACCGGCGGUGGAGCGCAUGGGAGUGAGAAUGCUGGCAUGAGUAGCGAGAGACGAGAGAGUAACUCGUCCGCCGUGAACCCGAGGUUUCCUGGGCAAGGCUAAUCCUCCCAGGGUCAGUCGGGGGCUAAGGCGAGGCCGGGAGGCGUAGCCGACGCGCAGCAGGCAGACAUUCCUGCACCGCGCACGCGGCGCUACGACCGACGGGGCGACGGAUGGGGGUGGCUCGGCGGGGUUCUGGACGUCCCCGUGAUGGAGCGCGGCCCGCGGACCAGGGAAAUCCGGUCCGCACGAGGGCGAGGCUCCGGACGAAGCGAUCAAGCGAAGCGAGUGAGCCCGAGGUCCCUAGAAAAACCCCUAGGCAGGCGCGUGCGCGCCCGUACCGCAAACCGACACAGGUGGGUGGGUAGAACAUACCGAGGCGAUCGGGUCAACCAUGGUCAAGGAACUCGGCACAAUGGCCCCGUAACUUCGGGAGAAGGGGUGCCCGCGCGUACGUGAACCGGCUUGCCCGGGGAGCGGAGGCGGGCCGCAGUGGAGAGGCCCAAGCGACUGUUUACCAAAAACACAGGACUCUGCAGAAGCCGCAAGGCGACGUAUAGGGUCUGACGCCUGCCCGGUGCCGGAAGGUCACGCGGAGGAGUUAGCGCAUCGCGCGAAGCCCCGAAGCCAAGCCCCGGUAAACGGCGGCCGUAACUAUAACGGUCCUAAGGUAGCGAAAUUCCUUGUCGGGUAAGUUCCGACCUGC